rnacentral:rRNA from 1 species
AACGAACGCUGGCGGCAGGCUUAACACAUGCAAGUCGAGCGCCCCGCAUGGGGAGCGGCAGACGGGUGAGUAACGCGUGGGAAUCUACCCAUCUCUACGGAAUAACGCAUGGAAACGUGUGCUAAUACCGUAUACGUCCUUCGGGAGAAAGAUUUAUCGGAGAUGGAUGAGCCCGCGUUGGAUUAGCUAGUUGGUGGGGUAAAGGCCUACCAAGGCGACGAUCCAUAGCUGGUCUGAGAGGAUGAUCAGCCACACUGGGACUGAGACACGGCCCAGACUCCUACGGGAGGCACCAGUGGGGAAUAUUGGACAAUGGGCGCAAGCCUGAUCCAGCCAUGCCGCGUGAGUGAUGAAGGCCCUAGGGUUGUAAAGCUCUUUCACCGGUGAAGAUAAUGACGGUAACCGGAGAAGAAGCCCCGGCUAACUUCGUGCCAGCCGCCGCAGUAAGAC